rnacentral:tRNA from 1 species
CCCUGGUUAGCUCAGUUGGUAGAGCGCUCCACCUGUAAUGGAGAGGUUCCGGGUUCGAUCCCCGGACCAGGCG